UAGGUAUUAAAUAUUUUAAAAUUUGCAUUUUUAAUAAUUCUAUUAAUUAGAAAUAUCUAA
rnacentral:tRNA from 1 species